UACGUAGGGUGCAAGCGUUAAUCGGAAUUACUGGGCGUAAAGCGUGCGCAGGCGGUUAUGCAAGACAGAUGUGAAAUCCCCGGGCUCAACCUGGGAACUGCAUUUGUGACUGCAUGGCUAGAGUACGGUAGAGGGGGAUGGAAUUCCGCGUGUAGCAGUGAAAUGCGUAGAGAUGCGGAGGAACACCGAUGGCGAAGGCAGCCCCCUGGGCCAACACUGACGCUCAGGCACGAAAGCGUGGGGAGCAAACAGG
rnacentral:rRNA from 1 species